rnacentral:rRNA from 1 species
GGGCGUCUCUUUCUCAUUGCGAGUGGAGGCGCACCCAGAGCGCACACGCUGAUACCCGAAAGAUGGUGAACUAUGCCUGGCCAGGACGAAGCCAGGGGAAACCCUGGUGGAGGUCCGCAGCGAUUCUGACGUGCAAAUCGAUCGUCGGAGCUGGGUAUAGGGGCGAAAGACCAAUCGAACCAUCUAGUAGCUGGUUCCCUCCGAAGUUUCCCUCAGGAUAGCUUGCGCUCACGAGAAACGAGUCUCAUCCGGUAGAGCGAAUGAUUAGAGGCCUUGGGGUCGAAACGACCUCAACCUAUUCUCAAACUCCAAAUAGAUGAGAACUCCGGCUUUCUUGAAACUUGUUUUAUUGAAGCCGGGGGCUUGGAUCAGAGUGCCAAGUGGGCCAAUUUU